UACGUAGGGUCCAAGCGUUGUCCGGAAUUAUUGGGCGUAAAGAGCGCGUAGGCGGGAUGGCAAGUCGGUCGUGAAAUCCCUCGGCUCAACCGAGGAACGUCGAUCGAUACUGCUGUUCUUGAGGAUUGCAGAGGAGACUGGAAUUCCCGGUGUAGCGGUGAAAUGUGUAGAGAUCGGGAGGAACACCGGUGGCGAAGGCGGGUCUCUGGGCAAUUCCUGACGCUGAGGCGCGAAAGCGUGGGGAGCAAACGGG
rnacentral:rRNA from 1 species